CAAAAAUGAGUUUCCUAUACAAAUGCUGGAGAAGCAGUAAAAGAAAACCAGAGGACUUGAACCAGAUGACCAAUCUAGAUUCCAAAUAUCUUUCCAAUAUUAAAGGCUUUCAUUUUAUCACCACACAGUUCUGAAAACAUUUUUUAUUAUUAUAACAGUUAGAGAGGCAGCACCAAAGAGCCAGGAAAGAUUCCUUGCUCCAGACAAUUUAUAUUUCAGACUCUGCACCAGCAAAAGAUUUUAGACCAAUCUUUGUUUUAACUCUGACUUAUGAAAUUUCCAGACCCAGGGAACAUUUAUACCACCAAGAGUUUGUUUCUCUGCACUGUUUCAGGGCAACAAUUUUGAGAAAUUUGCUAGGUCAGUGGCUUCAGGCCAUCCCAACAACACUGCCAAGAUCACACUAAGGGACCAUUUCCAGGAAGGUAGAAACUAAAGCAGGGCCCUAGGUAUACCCUGCGGAAUGCUGGUUUUCAAAGCUUGAUGGCCAAACACCCCAUUUUCACUGGAUUUGGGAGAAUCAGACUGAAUUCAUGCUACACAUGGCUUUUAUAGGGCUGAAUUUUCAGUAUAAACUCCUUUGAUCUUGGAACAUUAUAAAAGCCAAAUGGGAAAUUUCUCUUUGUUCAUACUCAAAA
rnacentral:lncRNA from 1 species